CUCGCGCAGAUCCGCGAGCUGGUCAAGCCGCCGCUGCGCCACCCCAAGCUGUUCGGGACGCUCGGCGUCAAGCCCCCCAAGGGGCUCCUGCUGUUCGGCCCGGCCGGCACCGGCAAGGCGCUGCUCUCGCGCGGCAUCGCCUCCUAGUCGGGCGCCAACUUCAUUGUCGUCAUCGGG
rnacentral:rRNA from 1 species